rnacentral:rRNA from 1 species
UACGGAGGGUGCGAGCGUUGUCCGGAUUUACUGGGCGUAAAGCGCGCGUAGGCGGCUUUGUAAGUUAGAGGUGAAAGCCCGGAGCUCAACUCCGGAACUGCCUUUAAGACUGCAUCGCUAGAAUUGUGGAGAGGUGAGUGGAAUUCCGAGUGUAGAGGUGAAAUUCGUAGAUAUUCGGAAGAACACCAGUGGCGAAGGCGACUCACUGGACACAUAUUGACGCUGAGGUGCGAAAGCGUGGGGAGCAAACAGG